rnacentral:rRNA from 1 species
UGCAAGUCGAGCGGAAACGAAGAGGUGCUUGCACCUCUGGCGUCGAGCGGCGGACGGGUGAGUAAUGCUUGGGAAUAUGCCUUAUGGUGGGGGACAACAGUUGGAAACGACUGCUAAUACCGCAUAAUGUCUACGGACCAAAGUGGGGGACCUUCGGGCCUCACGCCAUAAGAUUAGCCCAAGUGGGAUUAGCUAGUUGGUGAGGUAAUGGCUCACCAAGGCGACGAUCCCUAGCUGGUUUGAGAGGAUGAUCAGCCACACUGGGACUGAGACACGGCCCAGACUCCUACGGGAGGCAGCAGUGGGGAAUAUUGCACAAUGGGCGCAAGCCUGAUGCAGCCAUGCCGCGUGUGUGAAGAAGGCCUUCGGGUUGUAAAGCACUUUCAGUAAGGAGGAAAGGUUAAGUGUUAAUAGCACUUAGCUGUGACGUUACUUACAGAAGAAGCACCGGCUAACUCCGUGCCAGCAGCCGCGGUAAUACGGAGGGUGCGAGCGUUAAUCGGAAUUACUGGGCGUAAAGCGUACGCAGGCGGUUUGU